rnacentral:tRNA from 1 species
AGGGCAAGUGGCGGAAUGGCAGACGCGCACGGUUCAGGUCCGUGUGUCCGAAAGGACGUGGGGGUUCAACUCCCCCUUGCCCACCCA